ensembl:snRNA U1 U1 spliceosomal RNA
ACACUUACCUGGCAGGAGAGAUACCAAGAUCAGGAAGGUGUUUUUCCAAGGGAGGCUCCUUGUGCUCUCAUGAUCUUCCCCAAGUGUAGGACACUCAACUGCAUAAUCUGUGUAGUGAGAGAUAGGGUUUAUGACCUCCCCUGC